AUUAGACUUGUGGCAAACACACACUCCAGGACUGAGUGGAGGAAAAUUAAAUCUACACUCGUAGUGCCAAUUAAUUUUCACAUUUUGACUUGGCCUGAUUUUACUAUAUUACUGACAAAUUAUAUUUUUCUUGUCAGUUAUUCAAUCCUCUAGGAUUAAAAUCAGUCUAGGUAGAGGAGGUGUACGUGUGGUGCGAACACCAUUUCUGCCUCUGGCUGGGGCUGAAACAGGGCACCUGCACCCAACCCGAGCAGGCCGUGAUGUGCCUCAGUCAGUCUUGAUGACAGAACAGUGAGCAGAAUGUGAGCGCUGGCUCUCCUUAGAGCAAGGCCUUAGGAGCUCCUCCCUGAAUGUUUCUAACUUCAAGUCAGAACUCCUUCACGCCGACGAGCUAUUCAGCUGCAACCGAGGCAGCCUGGGGUAGCACUGCCAGCGACAGCCUCUCCGCUUCUUGCUCUAUGCCAAGAAAGUCUUUCUAAGAGGCGAACCUCUCUAAAAUUGGAAAGGGGACCAACGUGAGACCAUUUCAUUACAAUCUCCACCUGCAGUAGCCUCUCGGGAAGAACAGACACCUCUGAAAGAAUCACUUGAAGUGGAUUUCUUGGGAAAAUCUGAUCUGUGAACCUUGCUCUCUAAUUACCGCUGGGAGAACAUGAGGUUUGUUUGGAAUCAAAUGCAGCUUUCCACUGCCAUAAUUACACAUUUUAUUUCAAACACCUAACUACACUGUUUGAAGAUGUUAGCACAAUUGUACUAAAUAUUAUCCUGGAGUUCUGCUAAGGAGGGCUGGCAGAGAGUGAAGGAACAGGACAGCAACCGAAACGAUGGGUUUAUGGGGGUUUAGGCAACUCAUGGCCAGAGGUAUUGUGUAAAGAAAUGAGCUCUGGCCUUUCAUUCAGAGCGUGGAGUUCCUGUCUCAAUGCGAUGCUCUGAGGCCUUUCACUGGGCAGGUAAAGCUAUGGGCAGCCGGAAGCACGCUGAGGGCUGGGCGCUGAAUAACAUUCAUUAGGCCCCAAAGGACUUGAAGCAAAUAUAUACAUCUAGAGAAUAAUUGUUAUAAUAUGGUUAAGAUAAGUGCUUAUUAUGACACAAAGAAUCAGUGUCUUAAAUCCAGUGUUGGCUAGCAUGUUAAAUUACGGGCAAGUCAUUCAGUAAGCUCAGAAUGAGGGGGUGGGAAGGAGGGAGAUUGGGGCCAGGAGAGCAAGGAAUGGCAGAAAUUAAUCAGAUACAGUCCAUAGAUUUAGGGCCCUGAAUCACUAUAUCAUUCCCAAGAUAUUUGUGUAACGUGGCUGUGUUUAAGAUCUUCAGUGACUCUGAGGGCUGGGAAUAUAGCUUAGUGGUAGAGUUCUUGCAGCAUUUGCAAGUACUGGGUUUGACCCACCCCCCACACACACAC
rnacentral:lncRNA from 1 species